GACGAGUACAUGUUCCAUAGUUGCGAGUUUUACGUGGUCGGAGCUGUGUAAGAUUGCUGUAUCUGGAACGUAAAAGUACCUGGAAGUUUAACGUAAAAGUAUGUUGAUCGUAGAUUAAGGCAAAUAUAACGGGAAAGCUGGAGAAGUGAACUGUGGCGAACAACGACGAAUAGCAAGAGGAUUAAAGAAGAAGGGAAAAAAAGCGUUUAAUCGCUGAUAAUGAGGAAAUGGUGAGAAGACGAAUUGCAUAAUAAAAAUGUGUAAAUAAAAUAAGGGCGUACGAAAUCUGGAUGUGUGAAAGAUUAAGAAUGGAACAUAAUAGCGAUGUUGAUUUAGUGUAAGAGCUUGCGGAAACAUGGAUUAGUUUUGUGGAAAUUGUAAAAUAUGUAAAAAGAUUGUAGGUUAGAUAUAUGAAAAUUGAAAGAAGUAAGAAGAGAGUGAAAAGAGAGUAUAAAAUGAUAAUAGUUACUACUUAAGAUAAUAUAAUUUUGUGGAUGGUAGAAGAAUGGAUUUAUUUGGGUUUUAGGAGAUUAAAGAAUAAAUAAAAAUACAUUUAGAAAAUA